rnacentral:rRNA from 1 species
UACGUAGGGUCCAAGCGUUAUCCGGAAUCACUGGGCGUAAAGCGUGCGUAGGUGGCGUGUUAAGUGUGAUGUUAAAUCGUGUGGCUCAACCAUAUCGAUGCAUCACAUACUGGCAUGCUAGAGGGAAGCAGAGGCAAGUGGAAUUGGUAGUGUAGCAGUGAAAUGCGUAGAUAUUACCAGGAACACCAAUGGCGAAGGCAGCUUGCUGGGCUUCGUUCUACACUGAGGUACGAAAGCGUGGGGAGCGAAACAGG